UCCCAUCGCAGCCCCCCACCCUGCCAGGCGGCCUCCUCGGGCCAAGCCCCUCACCUUCGGGCUGAACCCCAAAGUUUCCGGGAUCCGUUGCAGCCUCUUUUCCCGUACCUCCCUGCGCCAGCCACCCCGAAGGGCUCCGGCCCCGCGCCCUUCUCCGCUAGCUGAGCGUUUUCCCUAUCAGCGAUCCUCCCGCCAGAAGCCGCUCCCAGCCCUUCCUGCGCAAGCCAAGCGCACGGCAACUUUCCACCUGCGCGGCCCGACGGAGGGUCUCCGAAGCGGGAACCGCGCACCGUCGCCGCGAGGGACGCGGCCGCCGGGAACGCGGCGAGUGCUGAGAUUUAGAAAUGCAGCACCAGGUGAAGAACAGAAAUACUGGGCCCUGGGCCAGCAGGAUGAGCAGGUCUGCAGUCACUGCUGUCUGGUCACUGCCAGGAGGACUAUGCCAACUGUGCCGUUCAGGCACAGCUGACCUGGAAGCAGCAGCCCCAGGGCUAUGAGAAGAGGCUCAGCCCUUGCCUCAGGCUGCAAAAAAUGAAUCUUACUCUUGAGA